AGCUCCAAUAGCGUAUAUUAAAGUUGUUGCGGUUAAAAAGCUCGUAGUUGGAUUUCUGCUGAAGCAAACCGGUCCGCCCUCUGGGUGAGCAUCUGGUUUUGUUUUGGCAUAUGCUUAGACUUUGCAGCUGCACUUGACUGUGUGGUGUGAAGGCUGAGCCAUUUACUUUGAGGAAAUCAGAGUGUUUCAAGCAGGCCAUUGCCUUGAAUACACUAGCAUGGAAUAAUAUGAUAUGACUGUGGUUUUAUUUUGUUGGCUUUUAGAAUUAGAGUAAUGGUUAAUAGGGAUAGUUGGGGGCAUUCAUAUUUAACUGUCAGAGGUGAAAUUCUUGGAUUUGUUAAGGAUGAACGACUGCGAAAGCAUUUGCCAAGGAUGCUUUCAUUG
rnacentral:rRNA from 1 species